rnacentral:rRNA from 1 species
GGAAAUCUCACCAGGUCCAGACACAAUGAGGAUUGACAGAUUGAGAGCUCUUUCUUGAUUUUGUGGGUGGUGGUGCAUGGCCGUUCUUAGUUGGUGGAGUGAUUUGUCUGCUUAAUUGCGAUAACGAACGAGACCUUAACCUGCUAAAUAGCCCGUAUUGCUUUGGCAGUACGCCGGCUUCUUAGAGGGACUAUCGGCUCAAGCCGAUGGAAGUUUGAGGCAAUAA